rnacentral:misc_RNA from 1 species
GAAAUGCGAUAAGUAAUGUGAAUUGCAGAAUUCCGUGAAUCAUCGAAUCUUUGAACGCACAUUGCGCCCUCUGGCAUUCCGGGGGGCAUGCCUGUCCGAGCGUCAUUACGCACCCUCAAGCCCGGCUUGUGUGAUGGGCCCUGGCGUCUCGUUCGCGAGACGGGCCCGAAAGGCAGCGGCGGCGUCGACCCGAGGAGCCCGAGCGUAUGGGGACUUUUGUCACACGUUUGCGGUGCGGACCGGCGCCUGCUUGACUUUUCUGAUUAUCCAGGUUGACCUCGGAUCAGGUAGGGAUACCCGCUGAACUUAAGC